rnacentral:piRNA from 1 species
UUGGAGGGAUAGGACUGUUGCUCU